rnacentral:rRNA from 1 species
CUGAACUUAAGCAACAA